UAGAUCAAUCAUCAACAUGAAUGAUCAGCUGAUAGUCUGUCCUCUUUCCCCGAUGUCAGUCAUGUCUUUUGAUAGGCACUGUAACCAGUGGUGUAGUGAUAUUUGUCAUCAUUUCUCAAUCAAUGUUUGUACUGACAGAUGACACCUUUAGAAUACCUUUAUAGAAUAUACAUCAAAUGCAUCCUCAGAUUACAACGUCUGACUAUAUCCACAUCGUCUCGGAGAAAAUGUUCUAUGUCCUUCACCAAGUCAGGAACAGCUCGUUUCAAAAUAGACUAAACAUCCAUGUCAAUCUUGAAUGAUAAUUCAUCACGUUUUACUGGUGAAAUGUCCACACUGCAUGCCAAUCAUCUCAAUCAUUAUCAUGAGAAUAUGCAUUUAGAUGUUAUUGAGUUACUGUUUCGUGAGUGAAUUAACCAGGAGCUAUAUGUAUCAAUCCUUUCCAGAUAACAGAGGCAAUGAGACUGUGGAGAGAGACCAGCUACAGACCAGUUACAACACACUGACUGAAGAGAGAGACCAGCUACAGAAGGAAAGAGAUGAUCUCAUGAGAAAGUUCUCUAAUCUGAAACAAACCUGUCCUGAUGGCUGGCAGAAGUUCAACUCCAGUUGGUACUUCCUGUCUACUGAGACUAAAACCUGGAAGGAGAGCAGAGAGGACUGUCUGGAGAGAGGAGCCGACCUGGUGAUCGUAAACAGUGAUAUGGAACAGCAGUUUCUCUUAGGCCUCAAUAAGGGAGCCUGGAUUGGUCUGACUGAUUCUGUUACUGAGGGGACCUGGAGAUGGGUGGACGACACCCCACUGACCAUAAGUUACUGGCACUCACAGCAACCUGAUAAUGGUCGUGACGACCCAAAAAAUGGGGAGGAGGACUGUGUUGAGCUGAACAUAGAAACCUGGCGUCCUGCAAAGGCAUGGAAUGACCAGUCAUGUUUAG